rnacentral:rRNA from 1 species
AACGAACGCUGGCGGCAUGCCUAACACAUGCAAGUCGAACGAGACCUUCGUGUCUAGUGGCGCACGGGUGCGUAACGCGUGGGAACCUGCCCUUAGGUUCGGAAUAACUCCCCGAAAGGGGUGCUAAUACCGGAUAAUGUCUUCUGACCAAAGAUUUAUCGCCUUUGGAUGGGCCCGCGUUGGCUUAGCUGGUUGGUAGGGUAAAAGCCUACCAAGGCGACGAUCCAUAGCUGGUCUGAGAGGAUGAUCAGCCACACUGGGACGGGGACGCGGCCCAGACUCCUACGGGAGGCAGCAGUGGGGAAUAUUGGACAAUGGGCGAAAGCAUGAUCCAGCAAGGCCGCGUGAGUGAUGAAGGCGUUAGGGUUGUAAAGCUCUUUUACCCGGGAUGAUAAUGACGGUACCGGGAGAAUAAGCUCCGGCUAACUCCGUG